CUACACUACAAGUUUUUGUUCAACAUCUGAAGACGAGCGGUAAAAUCCUCCCGAUGCAAUAAUGAAUGCCAAUGCCGUACUGAUUGCUCUGGUGGCUUGCGCCUUAUUAGUAGGCGGCACCGAGGCGUGUGGUGGCGAAGGCCGCUCCGAGUCCGGUCGCUGCGGUGGCAGCGAAGGGCGCAGCGAGCACGGACAAGCCGAGGCACGCCAGGAGAGCGAGGCUGCCCGCUGUGGUGGAAGUUCUGGUCGUUGCGAUGGCUAGUCAUGC